rnacentral:rRNA from 1 species
GACGAACGCUGGCGGCAGGCUUAACACAUGCAAGUCGAACGCCCCGCAAGGGGAGUGGCAGACGGGUGAGUAACGCGUGGGAAUCUACCCAUCCCUACGGAAUAACGCAUGGAAACGUGUGCUAAUACCGUAUACGCCCUACGGGGGAAAGAUUUAUCGGGGAUGGAUGAGCCCGCGUUGGAUUAGCUAGUUGGUGGGGUAAAGGCCUACCAAGGCGACGAUCCAUAGCUGGUCUGAGAGGAUGAUCAGCCACAUUGGGACUGAGACACGGCCCAAACUCCUACGGGAGGCAGCAGUGGGGAAUAUUGGACAAUGGGCGCAAGCCUGAUCCAGCCAUGCCGCGUGAGUGAUGAAGGCCUUAGGGUUGUAAAGCUCUUUCACCGGAGAAGAUAAUGACGGUAUCCGGAGAAGAAGCCCCGGCUAACUUCGUG